GGAUGUGAGGGCGAUCUGGCAGGGACAUUUGUCGCCCCACUGAUCGCCAGGGUUGAUUCAGGUGAUCUGGCUGGCUAGGCUGGUGUCCCCUUCCUCCCUCACUGCUCCACGUGCAUCCCUCCUGAAGCUGUGUGCUUGGUCGAAGAGGAGGACCAUCUCCGAUAGAGGAGGACUGGUCUUUGGUCAAGGGUAUAUGAGUAGCCGCGCUCCCCCUUUAGAACCUCCAGACAAGCUCUCUACUAAAAAUACAAAAAUUAGCCAGUGCUGGUGGUAU
ensembl:misc_RNA 7SK 7SK RNA